rnacentral:lncRNA from 1 species
AUGCUGCCAGUUCUCAUCAUCACUUUGCUAAUAAUUGCUUCUUACAGCUAUAAGUAUUUCCUCAGGCAGAAGAAACUGUGGGAGGAAAAGAUUCCGAACCCCAGCAAGAGUCUGCUGAUCCAGAGCUACUUGGAGAAAGCGCAUCUAGGAAACUGGCUGACAAACAGCCAGCUGGACUUCAAAUACAACCUUCCAGAGAAGAUGGAUCAGCCUAGCUUUCUUCAAGUUGUGGACAGGCAGAUGAAGACUUCGGCAGAGUCCCCUGAAGGGCAGGCUGGAAAGACAGAAGUUUCUCCUACUGCACUGGACCUACAGAAUCCAUACCAUGCUUUAAAUGUGACAGAGCGUGCCCCAGUUGUCUGCCUAAGUCGGACUGCUGGUCGUUCCUUUUCUGUUUCAAGGGGAAACAGUGCUGAUGCAAGUACUGCUUCCCAGACAGCAAUCACUUCCUUUGCUUUCAAUGGUCCAUACUUGUACAGCCCAGUGAUGUCCUCCCAGCCUGAGAUGCAUCAGCCCCUGGAUGUGACCCUGAAUCCAGUGGGAAACCAAGAGAAAUCAGUGUUCCUACAGUAUGUGACCCUCCCAAAUGAAGUCUGUCCCCAGGCUCCACGAAGACAAGAGCAGCCAGGAGCAGGUCCUCAGCAGCCUUUCCUGCUCCCAGAUCAGAAGGAAACAAUGCAGCACCUCAAUGAUGAGAAAGAAGUCUCACCACUCCCCGCAGCCGGUGGGCAAGGCACGAAUGUGAAACCAAAAGAGCAGAAAUCUCCAAAGGCUCUUGGCUGUGCCACGUCCCUUCAGCAGUGCCCCUCAGAGUAUAUUGCCACAGACAGCCUGUUACUGCCAUCAGCCAGUGACUCCACACAUCCACCACUUGCCACUGCUGGGGAGUUGCCUUGUGACCCACGGGAACCCCAGCUCCCCAAUGACCACUCUUGCCAUGAGUUUGCUCCUGGAAAAUCUGGUGUCACGGUCCCAGUUUCAGGUCAAGCCCCAAUCUUUUUCCCUGAAUCUCACCUGAAUGCAUUUGGGGACUACCUUGUUGUCCCUUCAGGUCUCCAUGGACCUUCAGAACCCACAAAGAUUUAUUUGCCUGUCCUACAGAAGGGAAGCACUCUUCCUAAUGAGCUGCCUUUGUCGGAGGGUAAUUUGGUGGUGUUAAACCCUGACAGCACUGAGCCAGUUUUCCUUUGCCAGGUUGGUGACUAUUGCUUCCACAGCCUGAAGUCCAGUGAGAAAGUGCAUAUGAGCCAGGAAGACCCCCAAGUCAAGAAACCUAAUGAAGCCAGGACAGCACCCGGGAAACCUCUUUCUGAUGAUGAAUCCAACACUGGCAAGAAAGAAGAUGUAUCAAAAAUGCAGGCUAUUCAGCUUUUCAAAAGCCUGAAAUCAGAUGAUUACUUUUCCUGGCAACAAUCUCUGAGGAUCAGAGAAAUCUGUUAA